CAGCUGGGCCGGACGGCCGCUCGAUGCGUCUUUCGGGACGUGACGGGAGGAAAGUCCGAACUCCAGAGAGCAGUGUGCCGGAUAACGUCCGGGAAGCUGGUUUCAAAGCCGGCUGACGGAAAGUGCCACAGAAAACAUACCGCCCGCAAGGGUAAGGGUGAAAAGGUGCGGUAAGAGCGCACCGCCGCUCCAGUAAUGGGACGGGCAGGGCAAACCCCACACGGAGCAAGACCAAAUAGGAAGGGAGUCCCGCCGUCGCUGCGAGUUUAGCCGCGAGCGAUGAGUAGCGAUGAGUAACGAGUGAUGAGCCCGCCAUGGAAUCAUGGUUGCUCGCAACUCUCCGCUCACAGCUCAUUUGCUAAAUCAGCAGCGACGGUGGGACGCGUGCCUGCUCGGUGCGCAAAACCUUCGGGUAGGUCGCUAGAGCUGCGCAGUAAUGCGCGGCCCAGAGGAAUGGCCGUCCUGCGGUACGUGGUCUCCGGUGGCGGGCUUCGGCCCACCACGGAGCAGCUUCCCAGCAGACAGAAUUCGGCUUAUAGGUCCGGCUGCCAC
rnacentral:RNase_P_RNA from 1 species